GUGGAUUAGAUACCCUGGUAGUCCACGCCGUAAACGGUGGGUACUAGGUGUGGGUCCCUUUUCACGGGAUCCGUGCCGUAGCUAACGCAUUAAGUACCCCGCCUGGGGAGUACGGCCGCAAGGCUAAAACUCAAAGGAAUUGACGGGGGCCCGCACAAGCGGCGGAGCAUGUGGAUUAAUUCGAUGCAACGCGAAGAACCUUACCUGGGUUUGACAUACACCAGAAAGCUGUAGAGAUACAGCCCCCCUUGUGGUUGGUGUACAGGUGGUGCAUGGUCGUCGCCAGCU
rnacentral:rRNA from 1 species